CUUUCACCGGAGCUUGCUCCACCGAAAGAAAAAGAGUGGCGAACGGGUGAGUAACACGUGGGUAACCUGCCCAUCAGAAGGGGAUAACACUUGGAAACAGGUGCUAAUACCGUAUAACACUAUUUUCCGCAUGGAAGAAAGUUGAAAGGCGCUUUUGCGUCACUGAUGGAUGGACCCGCGGUGCAUUAGCUAGUUGGUGAGGUAACGGCUCACCAAGGCCACGAUGCAUAGCCGACCUGAGAGGGUGAUCGGCCACACUGGGACUGAGACACGGCCCAGACUCCUACGGGAGGCAGCAGUAGGGAAUCUUCGGCAAUGGACGAAAGUCUGACCGAGCAACGCCGCGUGAGUGAAGAAGGUUUUCGGAUCGUAAAACUCUGUUGUUAGAGAAGAACAAGGAUGAGAGUAGAACGUUCAUCCCUUGACGGUAUCUAACCAGAAAGCCACGGCUAACUACGUGCCAGCAGCCGCGGUAAUACGUAGGUGGCAAGCGUUGUCCGGAUUUAUUGGGCGUAAAGCGAGCGCAGGCGGUUUCUUAAGUCUGAUGUGAAAGCCCCCGGCUCAACCGGGGAGGGUCAUUGGAAACUGGGAGACUUGAGUGCAGAAGAGGAGAGUGGAAUUCCAUGUGUAGCGGUGAAAUGCGUAGAUAUAUGGAGGAACACCAGUGGCGAAGGCGGCUCUCUGGUCUGUAACUGACGCUGAGGCUCGAAAGCGUGGGGAGCGAACAGGAUUAGAUACCCUGGUAGUCCACGCCGUAAACGAUGAGUGCUAAGUGUUGGAGGGUUUCCGCCCUUCAGUGCUGCAGCAAACGCAUUAAGCACUCCGCCUGGGGAGUACGACCGCAAGGUUGAAACUCAAAGGAAUUGACGGGGGGCCCGCACAAGCGGUGG
rnacentral:rRNA from 1 species